rnacentral:rRNA from 1 species
GACGAACGCUGGCGGCGUGCCUAAUACAUGCAAGUCGAACGAACCGCGACUAGGUGCUUGCACUUGGUCAAGGCGAGUGGCGAACGGGUGAGUAACACGUGGGUAACCUACCUCAUAGUGGGGGAUAACAGUCGGAAACGACUGCUAAUACCGCAUAGGACAUAGGAUCACAUGAUCCAGUGAGGAAAGGUGGCGCAAGCUAUCGCUAAGAGAUGGACCCGCGGUGCAUUAGCUAGUUGGUAGGGUAAAGGCCUACCAAGGCGAUGAUGCAUAGCCGACCUGAGAGGGUGAUCGGCCACAUUGGGACUGAGACACGGCCCAAACUCCUACGGGAGGCAGCAGUAGGGAAUCUUCCGCAAUGGACGCAAGUCUGACGGAGCAACGCCGCGUGAGUGAAGAAGGUCUUCGGAUCGUAAAGCUCUGUUGUUAGAGAAGAACAGCGCAUAGAGUAACUGUUAUGCGUGUGACGGUAUCUAACCAGAAAGCCACGGCUAACUACGUG